GUACAUUAGAUAUGCAGUGAUGUCUUUUAUUUAUAUGCACUUAGGUGUGCUAUUCAGUAGCGUAUUAGCAGCAAAAGUGAAAAUGCAAUGGUUUUAUUCAUCACAGUCCUUAUAUUUAAAUUUAUUUUCUUAUAUAUGAAGUUCAGCAUGAAAUUCCAUUCAGUAACGGAACAGAGUAAUAUGGAGACAACAAAAUGGUAGUUUUCAUUUGACAUUCCCUUUUGUAAUCCGUUAUUUUUAAUCACAUACAUCAUUUCAAUUGCAUAUGUUUGAAAAUAUUGCAUUGCCCUUAGUUCUUGUUCUCUAAUAUUUAUAGAAUUUUAUAGGAGUUAAAAUAAAUUAGUGUUUUUAAAACAGAUUCACAGAAAAUAAAAAGGGAUUAUCGUGAGAUUUGUAUUUUCUGUGUGUGUGUGUAUAUGUAUGUAUG